GGCGAGCGCGGGGCGGUGCGGGCGGGGGCCAGAGCCGAGCCGCAGCCCGAGCCGGAGCCGCAGCCGGAGCCGGAGCCUGGCUGUCCGGGCGGCCGCUGGAGCUCGCAGCGCGCCGGGGCUGGGACCGGCCUGGCCGAGCGCGCCGGCGCCGCGACCGCAGACAAAGGCGCCGCUCGCGCCCGGGCCGCCGCGCUCUCGGGCUCUGCUUUGGGGGAGUGCUGCACGCAGCAGGAGGGGCGGCUGGGCAGUGCAGAGCCUGGAAUCCCCUGAGCAAGCAGUGUUUCAGCUGGCUGGACAGAUCAAAUAACACUUGGGCUGGUUAACAAAGGACACGCAAGUGGGAAGGUGUUGGAAGCUGGAGUGUGGAAAUUUACCCAACGUUAUUCCUUUGACAGGAAAGGAGACAUGGUCUGAAAGAUGCCGCAUUCCUGCAGCCUCUCUGAGUCCAGCAGCACACAGUCUUGGGGAAGGUGGCGUGGAGGAGGGGGUGACAGAGGACGCUGCCCCAUCUGAAGCCUCUGGAGGAUCCUGGCUUGGCAGCUGAGUGCCCCUCAGCGCUGGGACUUGAGGUGUAACUUGGUGUAGAGCUCAAGAAAGGUGGUUGGGUUUCUCUGGCUUUCUUCACCAGUGCUCACCAGCCUGGUUUGGGUUGCAGAAUCUAAGGGGAGCUGGUAGAA
rnacentral:lncRNA from 1 species